CAUUUUGCAGUCACCAUUUUCCAAACGCUCCUUUGCUUGUCAAAGUUUUUCGUGCCUUGUGCCUUUGCUUUCUACAAUCUUUAAUCCGUCCGUUGCGAUGAUGCCAACAGCAGGUGCAUGCUGGGUGUGCCUAACAUGCUGAAUACUAAAAUGCUCAUGGUGGAUCUUCCAGGUGAUUACUUUCAUUGAGGAUUUCCUGCUGUUUGUGACAAAAUAUCCCUGCUGUGACUGCAGAGAGGCUGAGUGGACUUGUUAUACUGGCACCAGAGAGGCUGAGUGGACUGGUUAUACUGGGACCAGAGGGGAGUCUAAUACCUAACCAGGAUUAGAAAAGUGUACUGAACAAAGUGGCCAAGGAGUGUAUAAAACGGAGAGAAUCAGCAAAUGUUGACAUUAGAGAAGCUGGAAGUAGCUGAUAUUUGCCAUUUUUGCUUGAUUAAUCAACAAGAACAAUAAUUGAGUGCCAAAAUAGUGGACUGGUUAUACUGGGACCAGAGGAGAGGCUGAGUGGACUGGUUAUACUGGGACCAGAGACUCUGAGUGGACUGGUUAUACUGGGACCAGUGAGAGGCUGAGUGGACUGGUUAUACUGGUACCAGAGGAGAGUCUGAGUGGACUUUUGCAUUGGGAAUGCAGAGCAGAGAAGCUGACCCUGGAGCAGACUGAGGUGCAGACACAAGGCAGCGUGUGUGAAGUCGUACCAGUCUUGGCGUCCACUGAGAAGUAAGGCUGGCCCUCCAGGAUGCUGUAGACCACACGAGCGCUGUUGCCAUACGUGGGGUCAUCGGCAUCUGUGGCGGUCAGCUGGAUCACAGAUGUUCCUGAGUGAAUACGGAAGCAAAGACUACAUCAAACUGCUCCUACAGCGGCGAGAGAGGCGUUUUCUUCCAAUGGAGGAAAACCAACCCGGA